rnacentral:rRNA from 1 species
AGAGUUUGAUCAUGGCUCAGGAUGAACGCUAGCGGCAGGCUUAAGACAUGCAAGCCGAACGGUAAGAUUUGUAGCAAUACGAGUCCUAGAGUGGCGUAAGGGUGCGUAACACGUAUGCAAUCUGCCCGCAACAGGAGUAUAGCUCCCCGAAAGGGGAAUUAAUGCUCCAUAGGAAUAUCAGAGGGCAUCUGAAGAUAUUUAAACCUGAGGGGGUUGCGGAUGAGCAUGCGCAUGAUUAGUUAGUUGGCAGGGUAACGGCCUACCAAGACGAUGAUCAUUAGGGGAACUGAGAGGUUGAUCCCCCACACUGGCACUGAGAUACGGGCCAGACUCCUACGGGAGGCAGCAGUCGGGAAUAUUGGUCAAUGGGUGCGAGCCUGAACCAGCCAUGCCGCGUGCAGGAAGAAGGCCUUCUGGGUUGUAAACUGCUUUUACCAGGGGAUAAAAACGUUUUGCGAAACGGAUUGAAGGUACCUGGGGAAUAAGCCACGGCUAACUACGUGCCAGCAGCCGCGGUAAUACGUAGGUGGCGAGCGUUGUCCGGAUUUAUUGGGUUUAAAGGGUGCGUAGGCGGCUUAUUAAGUCAGUGGUGAAAGACGGCAGCUUAACUGUCGAGGUGCCAUUGAUACUGAUGAGCUAGAGUACUGAUGAGGUAGGCGGAAUGGACGGUGUAGCGGUGAAAUGCAUAGAUAUCGUCCAGAACACCGAUAGCGAAGGCAGCUUACUAAGGAGUAACUGACGCUGAGGCACGAAAGUGUGGGGAUCAAACAGGAUUAGAUACCCUGGUAGUCCACACUGUAAACGAUGAUCACUAGAUGUUGGCGAUACACAGCCAGCGUUCCAGCAAAAGCGAUAAGUGAUCCACCUGGGGAGUACGCCGGCAACGGUGAAACUCAAAGGAAUUGACGGGGGCCCGCACAAGCGGAGGAGCAUGUGGUUUAAUUCGAUGGUACGCGAGGAACCUUACCAGGGCUUGAAAGUUAGGGAAUGAUUCUGAAAGGAGUCAGUCAGCAAUGACCCGAAACUAGGUGCUGCAUGGCUGUCGUCAGCUCGUGUCGUGAGAUGUUGGGUUAAGUCCCGCAACGAGCGCAACCCUUGCCAUUAAUUGCCAUCAUUUAGUUGGGCACUUUAAUGGGACUGCCGGUGACAAACCGGAGGAAGGUGGGGAUGACGUCAAGUCCUCAUGGCCCUUAUGGCCAGGGCUUCACACGUAAUACAAUGGUCGGUACAGAGGGUUGCCAACCCGCGAGGGGGAGCCAAUCCCAGAAAGCCGAUCGUAGUCCGGAUUGUAGUCUGCAACUCGACUGCAUGAAGUCGGAAUCGCUAGUAAUCGCGGAUCAGCAUGUCGCGGUGAAUACGUUCCCGGGCCUUGUACACACCGCCCGUCACACCAUGGGAGUGGGUUUUACCAGAAGUAGUUAGUCUAACCGUAAGGGAGACGAUUACCACGGUAGGAUUCAUGACUGGGGUGAAGUCAUAACAAGGUAACCGUA